rnacentral:rRNA from 1 species
UACGUAGGGUGCGAGCGUUGUCCGGAAUUAUUGGGCGUAAAGAGCGUGUAGGCGGCCAGGUAGGUCUGCUGUGAAAACUCGAGGCUCAACCUCGAGAUGUCGGCGGAAACCAUCUGGCUAGAGUCCGGAAGAGGAGAGUGGAAUUCCUGGUGUAGCGGUGAAAUGCGCAGAUAUCAGGAAGAACACCCGUGGCGAAGGCGGCUCUCUGGGACGGUACUGACGCUGAGACGCGAAAGCGUGGGGAGCAAACAGG